GCCGGCCACUGGAGGGCGCUGCAGGAAGCCCAGGAAGCUAAUGACGCGACAAUGCCUCAGAGGAGCCAGGACCGGGACAGAAGGAAGAAGACAGCCAUUCUCAGUACCCCUAUUGGAUGUUACAUGGACAAGUGGACGUGAUCUGCAUGGGAUGUAGACAAUACUCCCAUGAUAUUUGAUUUGACCAGGAUGGAGGCAACACAUGCAGACCGAGGGGAGCGUGUCCUUGCUGCCCAACAUGGCCGGAACAUUGUGAGAGUGCUCUAUGGAUGCACAGUUUGCAGCCAUUCCUGUACCUUCCAUUAGUGUUUUCUGCAAUUCCCCAUCACCUGGGGACCCUCUGAGGGUUAUGGAUUUUUACAUAAGCAGCAUCAUUUAGGCACCCUACUGUUGAGACCUCCCCUGGUCUAAGACUCAUAAUUUAUUUCCAAGGACUCUGGUAAGCCUGUUGUUACCAGCCUUCAUCCCAAGGGAUGAACUUUAUGUCCAAAUUGAUGCAGGGGGUGUAAAAGUUUCAAAGCCUCAAUAUGUCAUCCCCAAUCUGAUGGUAUAGUGGAAAGAUUCAAUCGAACAUUGAAGUCAGUGUUGAAGAAGUUUACAGAAACAGUAAACAUGUGGGAUGAGCUUCUACCCUAUUUGUUACUUGCAAUCAGGGAAGUUCCAGUGCUUCUACUUGCUUUUGAACAUCUUUAUAUGAGUAAGCAACAUAAUAUUCUCAAUUUUGAAAGAAAAGCAUAGUAAGAACAGCCAGUGGAGGGGGAAAGCAUCCUUCAAUAAAUGGUCCAGAUGCAUAAUUGCAUGUACCUACUAGGUCAAUUGGCCUGGGAAAAUUUGCAAAUGCUCAGGAAGCUCAAACACUUUUCUAUUAUUGCAAUGCCCGAACAAGAGUUUUUUUUCACAAGGGGAUAAAGCUCUUUUGUUGUUGCUUACUCAGGGAAGCAAAUCACUAGCAAAUUGGCAAGGGCCAUUUGAAGUAAUUAGAAAGGUUGGGGAAGUAAAUUAUGAGGUCUCCCAACCUUACUCCCAUGGAGGUAAGCAGAUAAACCAUGUUAAUUUAUUGAAAGCAUGGAAGGACUAAGGUUUUUUGUAGACCCUGGUAAUGGCCAUAGUGACCUUGGUCCACAGAUUCCCCAGGUGGGUCUUCUCCCUAUCUUGAACCUUUGGGUUCAGACAAGCUGAAGCCUCCCUUGGGGGAAACAAGAAUAGGUAAUAAAGGAAGUACAAUAUACUGUAUGUUGAAGUUAGAAGUGAUUGAGGAGACGUUUAGCGACUGGUUUGUCUUGGUCCAGAAACCAGAUGGCUAUACAAGAUUUUGAGUAGACUUCCACUAAGUUAAUGUCAUGUCAAAAUUUGUCACCUACCCAUAACCAAAAGUGGAUGACUUGCUUGAUGGAUUAGGUUUUGACAGAUAUAUAUAUAACCUUGAUCUUAUGAAGAGUUAUUGGCAAAUUAAGUUGACCGAGGAGGCUAGGAAGAAAACUGCUCUUUCUACUCCUUUAGGCCUCUAUCGGUUUAAAAUAAUGCCUUUUGUCUUGAUUGGUGCUCCAGACUCUUUUCAGAUGUUAAUGGAUGGAGUGAUUCAUCCUCAUCAGAAUUAUGCUGCAGCAUACCAGGACAUUGUUGUUAUAUAUAGUCAUCAUUGGAUUGCCCAUGUUAAUAGGCUACGGGCUGUUCCUCAGUCUGUACGAGAGGCAGGCUUAACAGCUAAUUUAAAGAAUGUGUUCUAGGUAAAAAUAAAACUGUAUUUAGGGUAUGUGGUGAGCAGUGGGUGUCUGUUGCCUCUUAAAAGUAAGCUACAAACACAAGUUGAUGUCUUGGUUCCAGCCACCAGGAAAGAGUUCAGGUCUUUUUUAUUACAGGAGGUUUUUACCUUUGCAGCUGCCUUUACAAAAAAAUUUUUUAUUCUCCUCUAAGUAAACUUGAGUGGUCCAGGGAGAAUUGGUCUGCUUUCUCCACAGUUACAAACUUAUUGUGUAAAGGCCCAGUUUUAAAGUCCCCAGAUUUUGCCAAUAUAUUUGUGGUACAAACAGAUGCCACAGAUGUUGGCUUGGGGGCAUUUUUGUGUCAGGAGUUUGAUGGCGUUGAACACCCUAUUCUUUUUCUGUGUAGAAAUUUCUCCCACAAGAGAAUAGGUAUUCUGUAGCAGAAAAAGAAUGCCUUGCUAUAAAAUGGUUUCUAGAAGUUUUGAGGUAUUAUCUUUGUGGUACCAGGUUUACCAUUCUAACUGAUCAUACAUAGUUAAAAUGGUUGCAGCCCAUGAACAAUUCUAAUGCAAGCCUGACAUGGUGGUACCUGGCUUUUCAGCUUUUUACUUUUGAAGUCCUGCACAGACCGGUACGUCUACAUACGAAUGUAGAAAUUUGUUUUCCUCAUCAAAGUUGGAGAGUUGAGCUUCCGCUGCAGGAAUUUUAGAUACGCCUUUCAAUGGGUGAGGUAUGUGGCAGAGUGGUUUUCUCCCACAUUCUAAGUAAAUGGUUAACCUGCUGUAGCUCAGGGAAGAACCACACUCUUUUCUCCAGAAAGACCAGAUAAGAUAUAGAACCCUUGUUAAAAGAGUUAGUGAGUGGGAAUGUGAGGUAGAGGUUGCACCAUUAGCAGCCCUCUCUAGACUGGACAAACUUAACCCUGUCUUUGCUGUGUAUACACUUUUCAUUUGAAUUGCUGUCACUUAUAAGCUGAACUAUUGUAUCUAUUGUACCCUGUGUAAGAAGCCAUUGCACUGGCUCUGCCUCUCAGCCUGUAGUAAACUUGUUUGAAACAC